UACGGAGGAUCCAAGCGUUGUCCGGAUUUAUUGGGUUUAAAGGGUGCGUAGGCGGAUUGAUAAGUUAGAGGUGAAAUGUCCGAGCUCAACUCGGGAACUGCCUCUAAUACUGUUGAUCUAGAGAGUAGAUGCGGUAGGCGGAAUGUAUGGUGUAGCGGUGAAAUGCUUAGAGAUCAUACAGAACACCGAUUGCGAAGGCAGCGUACCGGCAUCCAACUGACGCUGAGGCACGAAAGCGUGGGGAUCAAACAGG
rnacentral:rRNA from 1 species